UGAAUCAUGGCUGAUUAUCCCCAUACUUU
rnacentral:piRNA from 1 species